AGUGAACGCUGGCGGUAGGCCUAACACAUGCAAGUCGAACGGCAGCACAGUAAGAGCUUGCUCUUACGGGUGGCGAGUGGCGGACGGGUGAGGAAUACAUCGGAAUCUACUUUUUCGUGGGGGAUAACGUAGGGAAACUUACACUAAUACCGCAUACGACCUACGGGUGAAAGCAGGGGAUCUUCGGACCUUGCGCGAUUGAAUGAGCCGAUGUCGGAUUAGCUAGUUGGCGGGGUAAAGGCCCACCAAGGCGACGAUCCGUAGCUGGUCUGAGAGGAUGAUCAGCCACACUGGAACUGAGACACGGUCCAGACUCCUACGGGAGGCAGCAGUGGGGAAUAUUGGACAAUGGGCGCAAGCCUGAUCCAGCCAUACCGCGUGGGUGAAGAAGGCCUUCGGGUUGUAAAGCCCUUUUGUUGGGAAAGAAAAGCAGCAGGUUAAUACCCCGCUGUUCUGACGGUACCCAAAGAAUAAGCACCGGCCAACUUCGUG
rnacentral:rRNA from 1 species